rnacentral:rRNA from 1 species
CCUACGGGAGGCAGCAGUGGGGAAUUUUCCGCAAUGGGCGAAAGCCUGACGGAGCAAUACCGCGUGAGGGAAGAAAGCCUACUGGGUUGUAAACCUCUUUUUUCAGGGAGGAAAAAAAUGACGUGUACCUGAAGAAUAAGCAUCGGCUAACUCCGUGCCAGCAGCCGCGGUAAGACGGAGGAUGCAAGUGUUAUCCGGAAUUACUGGGCGUAAAGCGUCCGUAGGUGGUUUAAUAAGUCAACUGUUAAAUCUUGAGGCUUAACUUCAAAACAGCAGUCGAAACUAUUAGACUAGAGUAUAGUAGGGGUAAAGGGAAUUUCCAGUGGAGCGGUGAAAUGCGUAGAUAUUGGAAAGAACACCGAUGGCGAAAGCACUUUACUGGGCUAUUACUAACACUCAGAGACGAAAGCUAGGGUAGCAAAUGGGAUUAGAUACCCCAGUAGUCCUAGCUGUAAACAAUGGAUACUAGAUGUUGAACAGAUCGACCUGUGCAGUAUUAAGUACUAACGUACGUUAACGUUACUACCGUCCGUACGGUAAGGUAGUGUCUCGCAGAGUAGAACUACAAUAGUAAGUUAGUACGGACGUGAGACGUACGCCGAACGGACGACGACGAGGGAGGUAGG